GGGGCUGACUGGUUUUGACAGCGAGUAGAGAUGGUAUGUAAGCAUGCAGUGCAUUGAUAUUAAGCACUCUAAUCUUAGUAUUAAAUUUUUAUCUGGCGAAAAUAAUUACGCUCUUGCUGCGUAAUCGAAUUAUAGUAGAUUACAGCUUUAUCUCGGCAUAAGAUGCUGAGACAAGACAUCACUCAGAUGCUGUUUUUCCGAAGCUAUCUGGUUUAGUGGUGUAGAAGUAUCGGGAAUAGUUAAGGGUGGCCUCACACUCUUGAUGAAACUUUAGAGGAUAAGGUAUAAGUUGGUGGCUUCGGUCUUUCUUAUACACGAAAAUGAAGGCGGAGAUAAGCAUGUAGAAAGCAUAUGGUUUCCUUGUUUGGACGAGGGUUCGACUCCCUCCAGCUCCACUG
rfam:Bacteroides coprosuis DSM 18011 chromosome, whole genome shotgun sequence.